rnacentral:rRNA from 1 species
GUGGGGAAUCUUCCGCAAUGGACGAAAGUCUGACGGAGCAACGCCGCGUGAGUGAAGAAGGUUUUCGGAUCGUAAAGCUCUUUCGUUAGGGACGAACGUGCUCUUUGUGAAUAAUGAGGAGUAAUGACGGUACCUAAAUAAGAAGCCACGGCUAACUACGUGCCAGCAGCCGCGGUAAUACGUAGGUGGCAAGCGUUGUCCGGAAUUAUUGGGCGUAAAGCGCGCGCAGGCGGGAUAUCAAGUCUGUCUUAAAAGUGCGAGGCUCAACCUCGUGAGGGGACAGAAACUGGUAUUCUUGAGUGUCGGAGAGGAAAGUGGAAUUCCAAGUGUAGCGGUGAAAUGCGUAGAGAUUUGGAAGAACACCAGUGGCGAAGGCGACUUUCUGGACGAUGUCUGACGCUGAGGCGCGAAAGCUAGGGGAGCGAACGGGAUUAGAAGCCCCAGUAGUCC